GAUCCCCAAAGGGAGGAGGUGCAGCUAAGAAGCUAGCCAAUGCCUGCUCGAGGUAUGAAACUCAUGAUUACAGAUUAUGAUCUAUCCACUGAGACAACUGGGCUUCAAAUUUUUGCUUGAUCUUGUGUCUGAGGAGUUUAAGGUCUUGUUUAAGAUAAAAUCUCCAAGAUUGAAUGGACUGUGGAAUUCCUCUGAAGACCUUGCCAUUUCUCUGCAGCCAUAUAUUCCAGCAGCCCAAAAUGAUGAUCUCAAGUGUAAACUGCUUUGGCAAGAGUGAAAGGGCCAGUGUGUUAUCAUCAUAAACUGAUGUGCCUCUUUUCCUAUGUGGAAUCAGGGAAUUCCAACAAUCCUGAGCAAAGUUGCAGUCCCAUAAUAAGUGCAUAGUGGUCUCCUCAGCUUGUUGGUUGCAGUUGGACAAUGAAUAUCAUCUAGUUUCAUGCCUUUUCUGAGUAGGAGAGCUCUAGUGUUGAUUCUGCAAUGAGCCACUAACCAAAAAAAGAUUUUAUGCUUGAGUCUACUAGAGCUUCUCCAAAUGAUACUAAAAAAGGGGUGCUCUUCCUUCUGUUCCAAAAGUAGAUUGUAGAUGUGGAUUGCAGAGGUCUUGCCAGCAGCCCCAAUGAAAGUUCACUUAUCCUCUCUGUUUGGGAGCAAAUUGGGUGCCAGAUUUGCAAGUUGAUGAAAUUCCUCAUAUGCUUCAAUAGAAAGAGGCAAAUGAAAGUGGUCUGUCCAAUCAUUCUCUCCAAAAAAACAUUGUACAGACUGUUCAUCAUUCAGUGCAAAGGAGUGGAGAUGUGGAAGGGUAGAUUGUAGGUUAGGCUCAUUCCAAGUAUCUUUCCGAAAAAGCACCGUUUGCCCAUUUCCAAUUGUGCACUUGCUAAUCUGCUUAAACCUUUCUAUUGUCCGACAUACGUUUAUUUAUGUGUUUGACCCACAUGGUUAGUUAAUGUUGUUAUGUUGUCGAAGGACAAGUAGAUGUGUUGUAGACUGUAUACUAUCCUAUGUACCCUCUUCGUCCUGGACAGUGCUAAGGAUGAAUACAAACUUAUAUGUAAUUGGCUGGUGCUUGUUUACUUAA
rnacentral:lncRNA from 1 species